GUCGUUUAGGCGGAGUGGUUAACGCGCUGGCCUGCUAGUCGUCUAAACAGUCGAAAGCUAGCCAGUUCCUUCGGGAGCGUGAGUUCGAAUCUCACAGGUGUCG